GAUGAACGCUGGCGGCGUGCUUAACACAUGCGAGUCGAACGGGAAGGCUCCUGCUUGCAGGGGUACUCGAGUGGCGAACGGGUGAGUAACACGUGGGUGAUCUGCCCUGCACUUCGGGAUAAGCCUGGGAAACUGGGUCUAAUACCGGAUAGGACGAUGGUUUGGAUGCCAUUGUGGAAAGUUUUUCGGUGUGGGAUGAGCUCGCGGCCUAUCAGCUUGUUGGUGGGGUAAUGGCCUACCAAGGCGUCGACGGGUAGCCGGCCUGAGAGGGUGUACGGCCACAUUGGGACUGAGAUACGGCCCAGACUCCUACGGGAGGCAGCAGUGGGGAAUAUUGCACAAUGGGCGCAAGCCUGAUGCAGCGACGCCGCGUGGGGGAUGACGGCCUUCGGGUUGUAAACUCCUUUCGCUAGGGACGAAGCGCAAGUGACGGUACCUGGAGAAGAAGCACUGGCUAACUACGUG
rnacentral:rRNA from 1 species